rnacentral:tRNA from 1 species
UGGGGUGUAGCCAAGCGGUAAGGCACUUGACUCUGACUCAAGCAUCUCCGGGGUUCGAAUCCCUGCACCCCAACCA